AACGAACGCUGGCGGCGUGCCUAACACAUGCAAGUCGAACGAGAAAGGGGCUUCGGCUCCGAGUAAAGUGGCGCACGGGUGAGUAACACGUGGGUAACCUGCCUCUAAGAUUGGGAUAACUCGUCGAAAGAUGAGCUAAUACCGAAUAAGACCACAGUUCCCGCGGGAACAGGGGUCAAAGGUAGCCUCUGCUUGCAAGCUAUCACUCAGAGUUGGGCCUGCGCACCAUUAGCUAGUUGGUAGGGUAACGGCCUACCAAGGCGAGGAUGGUUAGCUGGUCUGCGAGGAUGGUCAGCCACACUGGGACGGAGACACGGUCCAGACUCCUACGGGAGGCAGCAGUGGGGAAUAUGGCGCAAGCGGCGAGAGCUUGACGCAGCAGCGCCGCGUGAGUGAUGAAGGCCUUCGGGUCGUAAAGGUCGGUCGGGAGGAACGAAUGCUCCUGAGGUUAACAGCCUCGGGAGGUGACGGUACCUUCAAAGGAAGCACCGGCUAACUCUGUG
rnacentral:rRNA from 1 species